rnacentral:misc_RNA from 1 species
GAAAUGCGAUAAGUAAUGUGAAUUGCAGAAUUCAGUGAAUCAUCGAAUCUUUGAACGCACCUUGCGCUCCUUGGUAUUCCUUGGAGCAUGCCUGUUUGAGUAUCAUGAAAUCUUCAAAGUAAAUCUUUUGUUAACUCAAUUGGUUUCUACUUUGGUAUUGGAGGUCUUUGCAGCUUCACACCUGCUCCUCUUUGUUCAUUAGCUGGAUCUCAGUGUUAUGCUUGGUUCCACUCGGCGUGAUAAGUUAUCUAUCGCUGAGGACACUGUAAAAGGUGGCCAAGGUAAAUGCAGAUGAACCGCUUCUAAUAGUCCAUUGACUUGGACAAUACUUUUAUGAUCUGAUCUCAAAUCAGGUAGGACGACCCGCUGAACUUAAGC